UACCAGCACCCCGAGUGGUCGGGACGUUUAUUGGGCCUAAAGCAUCCGUAGCCGGUUCUACAAGUCUUCCGUUAAAUCCACCUGCUUAACAGAUGGGCUGCGGAAGAUACUAUGGAGCUAGGAGGCGGGAGAGGCAAGCGGUACUUUAUGGGUAGGGGUAAAAUCCUUUGAUCCAUAGAAGACCACCAGUGGCGAAGGCGGCUUGCCAGAACGCGCUCGACGGUGAGGGAUGAAAGCUGGGGGAGCAAACCGG
rnacentral:rRNA from 1 species